rnacentral:rRNA from 1 species
AUUGAACGCUGGCGGCAGGCUUAACACAUGCAAGUCGAGCGGAGAGAGGUAGCUUGCUACUGAUCUUAGCGGCGGACGGGUGAGUAAUGCUUAGGAAUCUGCCUAUUAGUGGGGGACAACAUUUCGAAAGGAAUGCUAAUACCGCAUACGUCCUACGGGAGAAAGCAGGGGAUCUUCGGACCUUGCGCUAACAGAUGAGCCUAAGUCGGGUUAGCUCGUUGGUGGUGUAGGGGCCUACCAAGGCGACGAUCUGUAGCGGGUCUGAGAGGAUGAGCCGCCACACUGGGACUGAGACACGGCCCAGACUCCUACGGGAGGCAGCAGUGGGGAAUAUUGGACAAUGGGCGCAAGCCUGAUCCAGCCACGCCGCGUGUGUGAAGAAGGCCUUAUGGUUGUAAAGCACUUUAAGCGAGGAGGAGGCUACUUUAGUUAAUACCUAGAGAUAGUGGACGUUACUCGCAGAAUAAGCACCGGCUAACUCUGUGCCAGCAGCCGCCGUAA